rnacentral:lncRNA from 1 species
UCUAUCUCUGUCUCUGUGUCUCUGCCUUCAUCUGUCCCUUUGUCUCUGUCUCUGUCUCUUUGUGUUUCUGUCUCUCUGUGUCUGUCUCUGUCUGUCUGUGUCUCUAUGUUUAUCUGUCUAUCUGUCUCUGUCUGUCUCUUUCUCUGUGUCCCUGUCUCUAUCUAUCUCUGUCUCCGUCUGUCUCUCUGUCUCUGUCUCUCUGUCUUUCCGUCUCUGUCUGUCUGUCUCUGUCUCUCUGUGUCUGUCUCUCUCUGUGUCUCUGUCUCUCUAUGUCUUUCCAUCUCUGUCUCUGUCUCUGUCUGUGUCUGUCUCUGCUCUGUGUCUCUGUCUCCAUCUAUCUCUGUCUCCAUCUGUCUCUCUGUGUCUGUCUUUCUCUGUGUUUCUGUCUCUCUCUGUGUCUUUCCAUCUCUGUCUCUGUCUCUGUCUGUGUCUGUCUCUCUCUGUUUCUCUGUCUCCAUCUAUCUCUGUCUCCAUCUGUCUCUCUGUGUCUGUCUUUCUCUGUGUCUCUGUCUCCAUCUAUCUCUGUCUCCAUCUAUCUCUGUCUCCGUCUGUCUCUCUGUGUCUGUCUCUGCUCUGUGUCUCUGUCUCCAUCUAUCUGUGUCUCCAUCUGUCUCUCUGUGUCUGUGUCUCUCUGUGCCUCUGUCUCUCUGUCUUUCCGUCUCUGUCUGUCUCUGUCUCUCUGCGUCAGUCUCUCUCUGUGUCUCUGUCUCUCUAUGUCUUUCUGUCUCUGUGUGUCUGUCUCUGUCUCUCUGUGUCUGUCUCUCUCUGUGUUUCUGUCUCUCUAUGUCUUUCUGUCUCUGUCUGUCUCUGUCUGUCUGUGUCUGUCUCUGCUCUGUGUCUCUGUCUCCAUCUAUCUCUGUCUCCAUCUGUCUCUCUGUCUCUGUGUCUCUGUUCUCUGUCUCUCUCUGUGUCUCUGUCUCUCUAUGUCUUUCUGUCUCUGUCUGUCUGUGUCUGUCUCUCUCUCUGUCUCUGUCUCCAUCUAUCUCUGUCUCCAUCUGUCUCUCUGUGUCUGUCUCUUUCUGUGUCUCUGUCUCUCUAUGUCUUUCCGUCUCUGUCUGUCUCUGUGUCUCUGUCUCUGUGUCUCUCUCACGCACACACCUAAAUGGAUGUCAGGCCUCGGCAAUUUUCUCCACUCAGGUGAGAGGUUGAGGCAGAGGUUACGAUGGGCGCGACCGACCUGUCCCCGCUAAUCUGCGACCCGCCUCCUGGUGUCGUGCAGCCCGAGGCGCACACCCCACAUGCGCGGUGCCCUUGCCCACAGGGGCACCCCAGGCUGGCUGUGAUCCCACAGGAGGGGCUGGGGACACGUUACAAGCAGCAGGAGGGUGACCCUGGUGUGUCCACAGGGCAGGUGACC